UACGUAGGGGGCAAGCGUUGUCCGGAAUCAUUGGGCGUAAAGAGCGCGUAGGCGGUCCGGUAAGUCCGCUGUGAAAGUCGGGGGCUCAACCCUCGAAUGCCGGUGGAUACUGUCGGGCUAGAGUCCGGAAGAGGCGAGUGGAAUUCCUGGUGUAGCGGUGAAAUGCGCAGAUAUCAGGAGGAACACCAAUGGCGAAGGCAGCUCGCUGGGACGGUACUGACGCUGAGGCGCGAAAGCGUGGGGGAGCAAACAGG
rnacentral:rRNA from 1 species